GAUGAACGCUGGCGGCGUGCCUAAUACAUGCAAGUCGAGCGAACAGACGAGGAGCUUGCUCCUCUGACGUUAGCGGCGGACGGGUGAGUAACACGUGGAUAACCUACCUAUAAGACUGGGAUAACUUCGGGAAACCGGAGCUCAUACCGGAUAACAUAUUGAACCGCAUGGUUGAAUAGUUAAAUACGGGUUUGCUGUCACUGCUAGAUGGAUCCGCGUCGGUUUGGCUAUUGGGUAAGGUAACGGCUUACCAAGGCGGGGAUGCGUGGCCGACCUGAGAGCGUGAUCGGGCCCACUGGAACUGGACGGCGGUCCAGAGUCCUACGGGCGGCAGCAGUACGGACUCUUCGGAAAUAGGGGGAAGCCUGACCGAGCAGCGCCGCGUGAGUGCUGAAGGUCUUCGGAUCGUAUAACUGUCUUAUUAGGGAAGAACCAAUGCGUAAGUAACUAUGCACGUCUUGACGGUACCUAGUCAGAAAGCCACGGCUAACUACGUG
rnacentral:rRNA from 1 species